rnacentral:rRNA from 1 species
UACAGGGGGGGCAAGCGUUGUUCGGAAUUACUGGGCGUAAAGGGCUCGUAGGCGGCCAACUAAGUCACACGUGAAAUCCCCAGGCUUAACCUGGGAACUGCGUGUGAUACUGGAUGGCUUGAAUCCGGGAGAGGGAUGCAGAAUUCCAGGUGUAGCGGUGAAAUGCGUAGAGACCCGGAGGAACACCAGUGGCGAAGGCGGCUUCCUGGUCUGCGACUGACGCUGUGGCGCGAAAGCUAGGGGAGCAAACGGG